rnacentral:rRNA from 1 species
UGGUAAUGCCGGAUGCUCCAGCACACCGCAUGGUGUGUUGGGAAAGCCUUUGCGGCAUGGGAUGGGGUCGCGUCCUAUCAGCUUGAUGGCGGGGUAACGGCCCACCAUGGCUUCGACGGGUAGCCGGCCUGAGAGGGCGACCGGCCACAUUGGGACUGAGAUACGGCCCAGACUCCUACGGGAGGCAGCAGUGGGGAAUAUUGCACAAUGGGCGCAAGCCUGAUGCAGCGACGCCGCGUGAGGGAUGGAGGCCUUCGGGUUGUAAACCUCUUUUGUUAGGGAGCAAGGCAUUUUGUGUUGAGUGUACCUUUCGAAUAAGCACCGGCUAACUACGUGCCAGCAGCCGCGGUAAUACGUAGGGUGCAAGCGUUAUCCGGAAUUAUUGGGCGUAAAGGGCUCGUAGGCGGUUCGUCGCGUCCGGUGUGAAAGUCCAUCGCUUAACGGUGGAUCCGCGCCGGGUACGGGCGGGCUUGAGUGCGGUAGGGGAGACUGGAAUUCCCGGUGUAACGGUGGAAUGUGUAGAUAU